ACAAAUGCUCCAGUUUUCCAUUUUGUAUUCCACCCGAUGCCACGUAGAAUGGGAACUGUUACGUUCUUUUCAACAUGGCUCUUCACUGCUGCUCCCUACUCAUGUUUUAAUAUGCUGCAUCAUUUUAUGUGGGUGGGUAUGUUGCUCUGCAGUUUUGUGGGUACUUGGUCACAGAUUAAACAGCAUCAGUGUCUGCUGUAAAGCAGCUAUAAAUCAUAACCAUGAGGUCGACAUACUGCAUCUCUUUAAAAAGCAGAAAUUGUAGAACUGUGGGACUGACCUGUACAAUUUUCUGGUACAAUAAUUUUGAGACUGCUCUUGGCACUUCAAGAGGAAAGCAGAGUUUCUUUCACUCUGAUCAUACAUUUUCAUGAACAAAGAAUAACGGUGAUUUACUGAAAUGAGUUUAUAGUUCUGGAAGUUGCAUCUACUGCAUCUGCUGGUGGAAGGAAGAGGUUUAAGUUCCAGGUCUGUUGAGUUUCUAAGCUGGCAGCUUCCUGAUAUAUAGCCCCUGGCUACACAGACAGCUCUGAUUAUAUGUGCCUGUAUGUCGCUGUAAUGUGCCUCUCAGACAAUCUCUCAGCUCUAACAGAAAUUCUGGAAGGCCUUUAACACUCAAUCCAAAAGCCACCCUUUUUGGUCCUACUGGAAUAUCUCAUAGCUAUUACAUUCUGAAUAGUCGAGCAAGACUUAGGAAAGUAGAGACCACCAUUCUGAGAGAAUACGGGAAUCCAUUGAAGACAUGAAACAGUGCAGUCUUCGUUUUCAUUUAUAUCGACAUAACAAAAGUUCUGCUGAACAAGAAAAAAAAUGUAUCAUGAGUCAAGAUAGUACAACAGCUUUUCUUCAGGAAUAAAAAUAACACUGCCAAGAAUAAUUCCUAGCUUAAGUCAAACUCUGGUUAUGUAUUAUAUUAAUAUGUUCAUGGACUUGCUACAUUAAGAACUGUGGAGAGGUUCAUUAGGUUAUUCUAUGCCACAGCCUAACUUGAUAUAUGACAUUUCUAACUUUGUUUUUAUCAAACACAACACCAGGCCUAUUGACAUUUUUCUGAUUAAGACUAUUUAAAGGAAACAACCAAUAGUAUGAUUUGUACUCAAGUAGGAUUCAAGUUAGAAUUUUUAUCAGACUACAAGAAGACGCCUCAACACUCAGCUAGUUUUAUUUAUUUAUUUAUUUACCAGUUGUUUACCAGGCAGCUGAGAUGGUCUAAUGAGCCUUUUCAGUAACAGCCUGGAAGAUUCUUAAAAAUACAGCAGGUAACUUUGAUGGCAAACAAAUAUGGACAUACAGUUUGAUUAAAACUGAUUAUUAAAGAGAAAGUUUUUAUUGAAGUGCAACAUACAGUAUAUGACAGACAUUGACUAAUUUAUGCAAGUUUUAAAUUAUGAAUAGUAUUUACAAUAUUUACACUUGCUAAGCAUGCAAGUGAUGGAUUAAUUUAGUUACUGUACAAUGUAGAUGAGGUAGUGUAUGAGCCAGUAUCUUUAAAGUAUAUGCAAGUGACCUUAUUUAUCUCAUUAGAACCUAUGGGAUAUGGAAUGUCACACCUCUAGCCUACAUACAUCCUUGCAUUCUAGAGCAUUUUCUGAAAAAUCAAAAUAAAAGCAUAAGAUAAACAAAUAUUAGUAUUUUGUGAACAAUAAAGGCCAUUAAAACUAUACAAACAGCAAUGUUAUUAGUAAGAAGUCUCCUUUGCAGCAGUCCCAGUCAGUGCAAUCGUAGUCUUUUCAUAAAUGCUAUAAUAUAUUACAAUGCACACAAAACCAGAGUUAUAUAUAUAUUUUUUUGCUAAACCAAAUUGUCAUACCUUGUAAAAUAUAUAACCUUAGAUAUAUACUGUUAGAACACUUUUAUUAACCAGAUACAAGCUAUGGCACAACAGUAAGAAAUUCCUCUCUGGAUGCAUGUAUAUUGGAAUAUUUACAGAAAUAUGAAAACGUAUGAGCUAUUGUAUAAUUAGCAAAAUAGAUAACACUGAAUAUCUCUCAAAAUGUGCAACUUACAGUGCAAAUAUCAGUGACAGUUUUCUUCAACAACAUCUAAGAUUUCAGCUGAUGCCAUAAAAUAGACUAGAAAUUACUUGCUCUUUGAAGUAUUAAGUAUAUAUGGAAGUAUUGCUAAUUGUCAUAAUUGCUAACAAAAACUUGUAGAAUUUCCACUACAUUGUGAUGUACAUGGAUUUUGACAAUGAAUUUUCCUGUCUCCCACCAUAUCAUUUCAUAUCAUAUCUCUCAGUUAUAGGUCUAUCAAUUAUAAAAAUACUAACACAUAUAUGAAAAUCUGAAUAAUAAGUGGCAAACUGUGAUACAUUUCUCUACUGUGGGACAUCCUACAUUACCAGUUUUUGCAACAUUUUGUUAUUUAUUCCCUGCCCUUUCCAAUACUGCACAUUAUUACUUGAGGAGUGGUGGUGCGUUGUCACUUCACAGUUAGAUGUCCGUUCGAUUCUCAGUUAGAGCGUCUACUGUGUGACGACAUGCGUGAAUGUGCGUUCCUUCGUUGAAGGUUGUGCG